AAAGUCGUAACAAGGUCUCCGUAGGUGAACCUGCGGAGGGAUCAUUACCGAGCGAGGGCUUCGCGGCCCGACCUCCAACCCUUUGUCGAUGAAUACCACGUUGCCUCGGGGGGCGACCCGGCCCCGCGCCGGGAGCCCCCCCAGGGGACCCAUCAAUUCUGCGUCCUUGCGUCGGAGUUUAAUUGAAAAUUCAAUCAAAACUUUCAACAACGGAUCUCUUGGUUCUG
rnacentral:misc_RNA from 1 species